UACGGGGGGGGCAAGCGUUGUUCGGAAUUACUGGGCGUAAAGGGCUCGUAGGCGGCCAACUAAGUCGGAUGUGAAAUCCCCAGGCUUAACCUGGGAACUGCAUCCGAUACUGGAUGGCUUGAAUCCGGGAGAGGGAUGCAGAAUUCCAGGUGUAGCGGUGAAAUGCGUAGAUAUCUGGAGGAAUACCAAUGGCUAAAGCAGGCGCCUGGGCCUUUACUGACGCUGAGGCGCGAAAGCUAGGGGAGCAAACAGG
rnacentral:rRNA from 1 species